AAAAAAAAAAAAAUACAAGGUUUCCGUAGGUGAACCUGCGGAAGGAUCAUUCACAAUAAGAGUGUUUAUGGCACUCUUCAAAAAAAUCCAUACCCACCUUGUGUGCAAUGUAAAAAAGGAAGCAACGGGAAAGAGGUCCCUUGGUGACAAGGGCCUGUUUUCAGCGCUUUCUUUUUCUUUAUAUACACCUUUCUAUAAGUUCCUAUUGUCUGAAGCUGUUAGAGAAUGACUAAUUCUUAAACAUAACUUUCAACAACGGAUCUCUUGGCUCUCGCAUCGAUGAAGAACGCAGCGAAAUGCGAUACGUAAUGUGAAUUGCAGAAUUCAGUGAAUCAUCGAAUCUUUGAACGCAUAUUGCGCUCUUUGGUAUUCCGAAGAGCAUGCUUGUUUGAGUAUCAGUAAACACCUCAACCAGAAUCCUUUCUGGCUGGAUUUGAGCAAACCCAACAAACCUCUCUCGAGGCAGGCGGGUUGCUUGAAAUGCAGGUGCAGCUGUAACAAGAACAGACUGAGCUAAAAGCAUAUCUAAUUUAGUCCGUCUCGGCGGAUUAUUAUCAUUUGCUGCAGCUACUCUAAGGUCAUCUUGUCGAGCUGACUGAUGCAGGAUUUGUCAGACAACUCCUCUCUAUCUCUUCGGAGCGUAGGAAGGAGGUACUCUUUCAAAACUCGAUCUCAAAUCAAGUAAGACUACCCGCUGAACUUAA
rnacentral:rRNA from 1 species